GAUGAAGAACGCAUCGAAAUGCGAUAAGUAAUGUGAAUUGCAGAAUUCAGUGAAUCAUCGAAUCUUUGAACGCACAUUGCGCCCCCUGGUAUUCCGGGGGGCAUGCCUGUCCGAGCGUCAUUGCUGCCCUCAAGCACGGCUUGUGUGUUGGGCCUCCGUCCUCCUCCCGGGGGACGGGCCCGAAAGGCAGCGGCGGCACCGCGUCCGGUCCUCGAGCGUAUGGGGCUUCGUCACCCGCUCUUGUAGGCCCGGCCGGCGCUUGCCGACACAUCAAUCUUUUUUCCAGGUUGACCUCGGAUCAGGUAGGGAUACCCGCUGAACUUAAGCAUAUCAAUAAGCGGAGGA
rnacentral:misc_RNA from 1 species